UAAAUACUAAUACCAGAUCGAUAGUGCACAAGUACCGUGAGGGAAAGGUGAAAAGAACUGAGGUGAUCAGAGUGAAAUAGAACCUGAAACCAUUUGCUUACAAUCAUUCAGAGCCCUAUGUAGCAAUACAGGGUGAUGGACUGCCUUUUGCAUAAUGAGCCUGCGAGUUGUGGUGUCUGGCAAGGUUAAGCAAACGCGAAGCCGUAGCGAAAGCGAGUCUGAAUAGGGCGCUUAGUCAGAUGCUGCAGACCCGAAACGAAGUGAUCUAUCCAUGAGCAAGUUGAAGCUAGUGUAAGAACUAGUGGAGGACUGAACCCAUAGGCGUUGAAAAGCCCCGGGAUGACUUGUGGAUAGGGGUGAAAGGCCAAUCAAACUUCGUGAUAGCUGGUUCUCUCCGAAAUAUAUUUAGGUAUAGCGUUGUGUCGUAAUAUAAGGGGGUAGAGCACUGAAUGGGCUAGGGCAUACACCAAUGUACCAAACCCUAUCAAACUCCGAAUACCUUAUAUGUAAUCACAGCAGUCAGGCGGCGAGUGAUAAAAUCCGUCGUCAAGAGGGAAACAACCCAGACUACCAGCUAAGGUCCCUAAAUCUUACUUAAGUGGAAAACGAUGUGAAGUUACUUAAACAACCAGGAGGUUGGCUUAGAAGCAGCCAUCCUUUAAAGAAAGCGUAAUAGCUCACUGGUCUAGUGAUUUUGCGCGGAAAAUAUAACGGGGCUAAAGUAAGUACCGAAGCUGUAGACUUAGUUUACUAAGUGGUAGGAGAGCGUUCUAUUUGCGUCGAAGGUAUACCGGUAAGGAGUGCUGGAGCGAAUAGAAGUGAGCAUGCAGGCAUGAGUAGCGAUAAUUAAUGUGAGAAUCAUUAACGCCGUAAACCCAAGGUUUCCUACGCGAUGCUCGUCAUCGUAGGGUUAGUCGGGUCCUAAGUCGAGUCCGAAAGGGGUAGACGAUGGCAAAUUGGUUAAUAUUCCAAUACCAACAUUAGUGUGCGAUGGAAGGACGCUUAGGGCUAAGGGGGCUAGCGGAUGGAAGUGCUAGUCUAAGGUCGUAGGAGGUUGUACAGGCAAAUCCGUAUAACAAUACUCCGAGAACUGAAAGGCUUUUUGAAGUCUUCGGAUGGAUAGAAGAACCCCUGAUGCCGUCGAGCCAAGAAAAGUUUCUAAGUUUAGCUAAUGUUGCCCGUACCGUAAACCGACACAGGUGGGUGGGAUGAGUAUUCUAAGGCGCGUGGAAGAACUCUCUUUAAGGAACUCUGCAAAAUAGCACCGUAUCUUCGGUAUAAGGUGUGGUUAGCUUUGU
rnacentral:rRNA from 1 species